GUCGAGUGGCGGACGGGUGAGUAAUGCAUAGGAAUCUACCCUGUAGUGGGGGACAACCUGGGGAAACUCAGGCUAAUACCGCAUAAUCCCUAAGGGGGAAAGUGGGGGACCUUCGGGCCUCACGCUAUUGGAUGAGCCUAUGUCGGAUUAGCUAGUUGGUGGGGUAAAGGCCUACCAAGGCGACGAUCCGUAGCUGGUUUGAGAGGAUGAUCAGCCACACUGGGACUGAGACACGGCCCAGACUCC
rnacentral:rRNA from 1 species